rnacentral:lncRNA from 1 species
GCAAGUGCUAAGGCAUCAAUAUCAGAGCAUACUGUAGCCAAGUGAAGUUGCUUUGAAAGUUGGUCUACAAAGACAGUAACAAUAAUAAGAUUGAAAAGUGUUUGCAACAAACAUGUAAUGAGAUCCAUAAUCACUUACUCCCAAUGUGCUAUAGGUAAUGGAUUUGGCUAUAAUAGCCUAAGAGAUGCUGCAUUGCAUUGUUGUAAUAUGUGAAGUUUGACUUGAGAAUGCAUUGAUGUCGUAUGGCAUGAUUUAUAAUCUGGGAAUACACUAGGUAUCUAGCUAUAGAAAGUGUAGCUUAUAUCUUUAUAUGAAUCUUGUCUUAGCUUCCAAAACUCCUUUAUUUUGCAUAAAACUCAAAAUAUAACAAAAUCCCUUCAAAACAUAUUUUUUCUGCAAAGGGUAUUCUUGUCCUAAACUUUAGAAAUUCAUUUCUCUUGAUCUAACC